rnacentral:lncRNA from 1 species
UUUUAAACUGCGGCUUUGUAACAGUAAAAUAUUUUUAUGUUAGUUUGGCCUUUGAAAAUCAGCAGUGAACUUAUAUAAAUAAUUUGAAAGGUGAAGUCAUUUUAAAGCAUAUGUUUUGAUCUUUCUAGAUCUUUCCAGAAACUUGCCUUGUGCUGAGCAACUUCCUUGUCUCCUGAAUAACAUGAUACCAAGCCCAGGACAGAACAGCCAGCCAGACUACUGAAGAUUUUUCAGUGGAGAUAUUGAUGGACACAGAAGCAGUUUUGGCUGAUUAAAGUCUCUCAGCAAACACAUACCUGGUAAAAGCUGCUAUUUAAUUUGCAAUAUUAUUAAAGUUACAUGAUGUAUAGCAGAAACCAGCCUAU